rnacentral:RNase_P_RNA from 1 species
UAAGCAGGUCUCCCUGUCGCUCCGGUUAUCCGGGGAGGAAAGUCCGAACACCGCAGUGCAGCAUAGCGGGUAACGCCCGUCUCCCUUUUAGGGAAGGACAAGUGCAGCAGAAAGUAUGUACAGGUAAUGCUGUAGUGAAAUCAGGUAAACUCUAUGCGGUGAAACGUCAUGUAUAUCAGCGUUUAAGGGUUGCACGCCCAAGCUGAAGGGUAGGCGGAUAGAACCAACGGGUAACUUUUGGUCCAGAUAAAUGAUAGGGGAGCUUUACGGCUUUACAGAAUUCGGCUUAUGGCCUGCUUUUUAU